AGCUGCAGCUGGAGGCAGCUGCCUAUCUGAUCCUGUUUGAGAGUCCGCCAAGUUGGGAUUUAAAUUAGACAUUAAGAAGAAUUUACAGACCGGCCUUGCCUUGUUCCACGGUCACGAUGAGGGCCCAGGCUCUGGAUGGGCUGCCAAGGGGACCAUGCGGGGCUGGAACCGGAGAGCCCGAGAGAGCCCUGGGCAGGUGUCAGAGCCGGACAGGACCCAGCUGAGCCAGGACCUGGGUGGGGGCACCCUGGCCAUGGACACGCUGCCAGAUAACAGGACCAGGGUGAUGAUGGAGUCUCGCUCUGUCGCCGAGGCUGGAGUGCAGUGGCGCAAUCUUGGCUCAUUGCAACCUCCUCCUCCUCCUGGGUUCAAGCGAUUCUCCUACCUCAGCCUCCUGAGUAACUGGGAUUACAGGAGGACAACCACAGCUAUUAUGUGUCCCGUCUCUAUGGCCCCAGCGAGCCCCGCAGCCGGGAACUGUGGGUGGAUGUGGCUGAGGCCAACCGGAGCCAAGUGAAGAUCCACACAAUACUCUCCAACACCCACCGGCAGGCUUCG
rnacentral:sRNA from 1 species